rnacentral:rRNA from 1 species
GUUCUGCUCUAUGAAACUAGUUUUAAAUGGCUGCAGUAUAUUGACUGUACUAAGGUAGCAUAAUCAUUUGCUUUUUAAAUGAAAGCUGGAAUGAAUGAAUUGAUAAAAUAUAAACUUUAUUAAUUAAAUAAAUUGAAUUUAAAUUUUAAGUUAAAAUGCUUAAAUAUUUUAAUAAGACGAGAAGACCCUAUAGAAUUUUAUAUAAAUAAAUAGAAUAAUUUUAUUUUAUUAAAAUUAUUAUUUAAGGUAUAUUUUAUUGGGAGGGUAAAUAAAUUUAAUAAACUUUAUAAGGUUAUCUACAAUUAUAAUUGAGUUUACAUGAAUUAAUUAUAUUAAUAUUAAAUAAAUUACCUUAGGGAUAACAGCAUAAUAUUUUUUGAUAGUUCUUAUUGAUAAAAAUGUUU